rnacentral:rRNA from 1 species
UACGGAGGGUCCAAGCGUUAUCCGGAAUCAUUGGGCUUAAAGGGUCCGUAGGCGGUUUUGUAAGUCAGUGGUGAAAGCCCAUCGCUCAACGGUGGAACGGCCAUUGAUACUGCAAGACUUGAAUUAUUAGGAAGUAACUAGAAUAUGUAGUGUAGCGGUGAAAUGCUUAGAGAUUACAUGGAAUACCAAUUGCGAAGGCAGGUUACUACUAAUGGAUUGACGCUGAUGGACGAAAGCGUGGGGAGCGAACAGG